rnacentral:SRP_RNA from 1 species
GCUGAGCACGGUGUCACGUGCCUUUAGUUCCAGCUACUCGGGAGGCUGAGGUGGGAGGAUCGCUUGAGCCAGGAGUUCUGGGCUGUAGUGCGCUAUGCUAGUCGGGUGUCCACACUAAGUUUGGCAUCAAUAUGGUGACCUCCCGGGAUCAGGGGACCGCCAGGUUGCCUAAGGAAGGGUGAACCGGCCCAGGCUGGAAACGGAGCAGGUUAAAACUCCUGUGCUGAUCAGUAGUGGGAUCGCGCCUGUGAAUAGCCGCUGUACUCCAGCCUGGGCAACAUAGUGAGCCCCCGUCUCU